GCAACCUUGCUGCCAGCGCGCAUCUUUCAUCAACCUUGCGCCACUUCUACAGAGACAGAUACGACCAGACACAGGUGACGAACUGACAGUUCUGAUGACAGGUAUGAAGGUUGAACAGUAAGACGAAGAACAGAUCGACAACUAAAAAAAAGACGAUAAACAUAUUUACGAAGUGCACGCUGUUAGACAGCUCAAAUUACAUAUAGAUUAGAUGAAACUAUCAAUAUUACUUAAAAUUAGAUUAACUUCUUAGUAAGGUAUGGUAUACCAAUCAAACUAUAUUUCAACUUAAAAUUAAUGAAUUUUCACUUGAAAUAGGUACUUGCUGUGAAGCUGUAUCGCUAGUUCUAUUCUUAACCUUAAAUUCAUGCCCAAAAAUUGUAAAAUCACGAAUUCGACCAACGACAACACUGAACACAGACGAAGCUACGUAAGGGACUAAACGUAAGUCUUAAACUAUAUACUAUAUACAUAUGUACAGGCAACGAUUUACAUGAAAUUUGUACAAUUCUAAAUCUGUGCGCAACGCCCAAACUAAAACCAUGUACUUGAAACCUUUUUCAAUAGGAGAAUUAUAAUCGUCCGCUGAAUUACGCCCA